AGAUGAUGAUACUCUUCCACCGCAUGUAUAUGAAAUUCCAUCGGAUUUAUUUGAUAGCUUGCUGACAUUUUUACCUCCACUGGCCUUGCAAAAGAUGCAAGAACAAAUGAGGUCUCAAAACCUUUGACAGCUUUCAAGUCAUUUGACAACCCAAACCGGCUUCAGAUUAUUCGCGUACCUGUCCGCAGCAAGAGUCUGCUGUCAUCUUUCUUCGUAAAACAGAAGAAGACAAAACUGAAGACCAUCUCAUGAAUCCUCACUCAAUGAAGCAAGUCGACUAUACCAUUCAGCAAACCACCCACAUUGUGUGGGUGUAACAGCCUAUGCGUGUUGGUGAUCACUUGAUUCAUCCAUUAAUUGCUUAUAUAUCUCCAAACCUUUCGUUUGGUGAUCGAUAACAAGAAGUGCAUCAUCGUCUUGGUUCGGAUCAGUGUUAUGUUGUAUUCUGUCUUGUAUGUAGGUAUAGUUAACUAACUAGCAGUCCUGUUGUGAAGAUGGUUUAUAUUGAUCAAGCUUUGAUGGUUAACUCUAAUUUCUA